rnacentral:rRNA from 1 species
AUUGCGGAACAAACCCACUGCGUUCGACCUUCACUCUUCACACGCGGAACCAUUGGGGCUGUGGAAACCUCCUUGAUUGGUGGUAGAAGCGCUUCCGCAUUCAACACAUGCAUAUGCCCCUGUCCGUGGAGGUUACUGUGAACAAAACAGCGUGUCCAAAGCAACCACAUGUCUGGCUGAAUGAUCUAGCAUGGAAUAACAAGGCAUCGACCACUGGAGUCAGCCUUUUUGUUGGUUUUACAUGACCCAGUUGGGCAAUGCAGGGCUUGUGCUUCAUUGAGGUUCUUAGUCAGCUCUACCGAACUGUCUUCCCUCAGUUGGACCUUGUUCCCUAUCGGGAUCAAUGGAAGCCAUCGGGGUGGUAUGUAUUCCGACGUGAGCGGUGAAAUGCUUAGACCGUUGGAAGACAAACGACAGCGAAGGCAUUCCGCCAGAAUGUUUUCAUUAAUCAAGAACGAGAGUGUGGGGAUCGAAGAUGAUCAGAUACCAUCGUAGUCCAUUACCGUAAACUAUGCCAACUCGGCAUUGGGAGUCUGUUCACUUUGAAGACUCUCCCAGCAUCAUCCCCCAAUAACGAGAAAUCCAAGUCUAUGGGUUCAGGGGGGAGUACAGUCGCAAGGCUGAAACUUAAAGGAAUUGACGGAAUGACACCACAAGGCGUGGAGUAUGCGGCUUAAUUUGACACAACACGGGGAAGCUUACCAGGUCAGACACAGUAAGGAUUGACAGAUUGAGAGCUCUUUCUUGAUCCUAUGGAUGGUGGUGCAUGGCCGUUUCUGGUUCGUGGAGUGAUCUGUCUGCUUAAUUGCGAUAACGAACGAGAUCUCUACCUCUAAAUAGGCGCCGGUCUCGCAUGUAAGUAGGGAUGUGUUGGGGGCCUUCGUGUCCCCUCAUGUCCUGAGAGUGCCGGGAUCGCUUCUUAGACGGACUGUGCAUGUCUUUAAUGCACGGAAGAGGGAGUCAAUAGCAGGUCUGUGAUGCUCCUAGAUGUUCUGGGCUGCACGCGCACUACACUGGCACAGUAAACGAGUUGCACCUGCUUCGGCAGUCCUGCUUAGAAGUGAGCGUGGGAAAUCUUAGAAAACUGUGCCGUGCUGGGGAUAGAUGAUUGCGAUUAUUUGUCUUGAACGAGGAAUGCCUAGUAGAGGUACUUCAUCAGAGUACCUUGAUUGUGUCCCUGCCAUUUGUACACACCGCCCGUCGUUGCUACCGAUUGGCUGUAAAAUAGAGGCCUUAAGAGUCGCUUCCGCAAAGCUUUGCUUUUGAGGUUGUGACAAAUCUGGCCAAUAUUUCAUUGCUAGAGGAAGCAAAAGUCGUAACAAGG